GAUAGUGCAAGAAUGUGGAAGCCCAGUUCCCUUGGCUGGGAAAGAGGGAUCAGCUCCUUCCAUAGCUUCCCUGUGGGACUGAGCUCAAGAUGAAGAAACUGAGGCUUGGAGAAUGGUUGAGUAAUGUGCCAAGCUUGAGGAGCGCUCCAUUAUUAGCGUUUGAGAGAAAAACCACAAGGCAGGCAAGUUGUAAAUCUCAGCAGCUGCCAAGAGGAGAAAGACGGAGAGGCAGAGAAGAGGAAGCCAUGCCUUUUGAAACGAGGUCAGCAACAGAGGUCUGCAAGCAGCUGUGUGAAGAGCGGAUGGGAAGCUGGAAUUCAGAGGCCCAGUGAGAAAGCUCAGCGUGUGCGACAAGCAAGUUUAGGAUUUUGUUUAGUAUCCAAAGAGGAGGCAGAAAGGA